rnacentral:rRNA from 1 species
GGAGAAAAGCAGGGGAUCGCAAGACCUUGCGCUCAUUGAGCGGCCGAUGCCUGAUUAGCUAGUUGGUGAGGUAAAGGCUUACCAAGGCGACGAUCAGUAGCUGGUCUGAGAGGACGACCAGCCACACUGGGACUGAGACACGGCCCAGACUCCUACGGGAGGCAGCAGUGGGGAAUUUUGGACAAUGGGGGAAACCCUGAUCCAGCCAUGCCGCGUGAGUGAAGAAGGCCUUCGGGUUGUAAAGCUCUUUCAGCCGGAACGAAACGGUCACGGCUAAUACCUGUGACUACUGACGGUACCGGAAGAAGAAGCACCGGCUAACUACGUGCCAGCAGCCGCGGUAAUACGUAGGGUGCGAGCGUUAAUCGGAAUUACUGGGCGUAAAGCGUGCGCAGGCGGUUUUGU